GUUACGACUACCUUUUUUUGUUGUUGCAAAAGCUCCUAUAUAUCCUGGCUCCCCUCUUACCUCUUCUGCCUCCCGGGCUUCAGUCCUCAGCAAGUCCACAGAAUAAAACGUAAUUCUCAACUUUCAGUUGUGCAUUUUUUUUCAGUCAACAACACGCAAAAGCCACCAGAACCUGGCCAUGUGGAGGUGUCCCCUGUGUGGCAGGCUAAAAAUCCAGGCUCAGACGCUCGAGUAUGGGAGACAGCAGCGCGCUGUGAGGAGGCGGAGGGGGAGCAAAGAUGGCGGCGACCUAGUUCCCCAAGGGCAGGACUGUCUACAGCCUCUGUUGUGGCGCCAGCGCUGUGCCUGCCCCUCACUGAAGCUCCAGGACAAGCAAAUGGGCCUCCUUCUCAGAGAGAUGGAGAUGUGUUUCCAUUGCUGUUCGUGCUGAGCCCUAGAGGAGGUGCGGUGGGAGCGGCGCUGCGGAGAACUGUCUACUCGGGUGGUUCCAGUCCCGGGGGAGCGAGGACUCCGCGCCUUCCGGCCACCGGAAGCGGAGUUCAAGGGGCGUCUCCUGGGCGGCGGCCGCAAAUAGGGCGUCAGGAGGUGUAAAAACCCGGCCAGCAGACUCGUGUUAAGGGCUCCGUUCUGGGAGAUACCAGCACAUUGUGUGCGGUAGAGGGGAGAAAAGCGCACCCUGUGAGAAAAAAAAGAAAACAGAAACGUAAAAGAAAGAAAGAAAAAAAGAAAACAAAAACGGCGCCUGCAGGCUUGAGCACCCCAGCAGGAGAGCAGGAAGAUGGCGCCCACCAGCUUCGCCCCCAGAGACUGUGCCUGCCACUGAGGCCCUUCACACCAUCGCUUUCAAAUUAGCAAGUGCGUUUCUUUCACAGAAAGUCCGGCACUUUUCAAAGGUCUGCGCCUGUGGCCAUGGAGCGGACAUUCCUGUAGCCGCGGACCUUUUGACCCACGAUCCAUAAAUGUCCAUCUGUGGAUCAUGCUGAGGAUAGAGGAAAAGUUUGCACCUGCUUGUGGCUAAGUGAGGAAGAACAUCAAUAAUAGAUGAUCUCAGGGACCCACAGACCCCUCCUACCUGCUCCAGACACUCGUGCCACUUGGACCUCCUUGCCCACAGAGAUGCUCUGACUGGAUCCUGCCUCCCCACCUGGACCCACCAUCCACACACACCUGCCCUGCGUUAGCUGGUCUCAAUUUCUGCCUGAAUGGACAUCCAUAGUCCCUUGGUCCUGGGCUCUCCUGAAUGAUCCUGUCCUGCCCUGUGACUUCCACAAGACCAGGGAUGAA